rnacentral:rRNA from 1 species
UACGGAGGAUCCGAGCGUUAUCCGGAAUUAUUGGGUUUAAAGGGUGCGUAGGCGGCCAUUUAAGUCAGCGGUGAAAUUUUGCAGCUUAACUGUAACAGUGCCGUUGAUACUGUUUGGCUAGGAUUUGGUUGUAGUGUGCGGAAUGUGUGGUGUAGCGGUGAAAUGCUUAGAUAUCACACAGAACACCGAUAGCGAAGGCAGCACACUAAGUCAUUAUUGACGCUGAGGCACGAAAGUGUGGGGAUCAAACAGGAUUAGA